rnacentral:rRNA from 1 species
UUCCUACGGGAGGCAGCAGUGGGGAAUAUUGCACAAUGGGGGAAACCCUGAUGCAGCAACGCCGCGUGAGUGAUGACGGCCUUCGGGUUGUAAAGCUCUGUCUUCAGGGACGAUAAUGACGGUACCUGAGGAGGAAGCCACGGCUAACUACGUGCCAGCAGCCGCGGUAAUACGUAGGUGGCAAGCGUUGUCCGGAAUUACUGGGUGUAAAGGGAGCGCAGGCGGGAAGCCAAGUCAGCUGUGAAAACUACGGGCUUAACUUGU